UGGGGAAUAUUGGACAAUGGAGGAAACUCUGAUCCAGCAAUUCUGUGUGUGUGAAGAAGGUUUUAGGACUGUAAAACACUUUUAGUAGGGAAGAAAAAAAUGACGGUACCUACAGAAGAAGCAACGGCUAAAUACGUGCCAGCAGCCGCGGUAAUACGUAAGGUCCGAGCGUUGUCCGGAAUCAUUGGGCGUAAAGGGUACGUAGGCGGAUAAGCAAGUUAGAAGUGAAAUCCUAUAGCUCAACUAUAGUAAGCUUUUAAAACUGCUCAUCUUGAGGUAUGGAAGGGAAAGUGGAAUUCCUAGUGUAGCGGUGAAAUGCGCAGAUAUUAGGAGGAAUACCGGUGGCGAAGGCGACUUUCUGGCCAUAUACUGACGCUGAGGUACGAAAGCGUGGGUAGCAAACAGG
rnacentral:rRNA from 1 species